rnacentral:rRNA from 1 species
UCGAUUCCCUUAGUAGCGGCGAGCGAAACGGGAAGAGCCCAAACCAACAAGCUUGCUUGUUGGGGUUGUAGGACACUCUAUACGGAGUUACAAAGGACGACAUUAGACGAAUCAUCUGGAAAGAUGAAUCAAAGAAGGUAAUAAUCCUGUAGUCGAAAAUGUUGUCUCUCUUGAGUGGAUCCUGAGUACGACGGAGCACGUGAAAUUCCGUCGGAAUCUGGGAGGACCAUCUCCUAAGGCUAAAUACUCUCUAGUGACCGAUAGUGAACCAGUACCGUGAGGGAAAGGUGAAAAGCACCCCGGAAGGGGAGUGAAAUAGAACCUGAAACCGUGUGCUUACAAGUAGUCAGAGCCCGUUAAUGGGUGAUGGCGUGCCUUUUGUAGAAUGAACCGGCGAGUUACGAUUUGAUGCAAGGUUAAGCAGUAAAUGUGGAGCCGUAGCGAAAGCGAGUCUGAAUAGGGCGUUUAGUAUUUGGUCGUAGACCCGAAACCAGGUGAUCUACCCUUGGUCAGGUUGAAGUUCAGGUAACACUGAAUGGAGGACCGAACCGACUUACGUUGAAAAGUGAGCGGAUGAACUGAGGGUAGCGGAGAAAUUCCAAUCGAACCUGGAGAUAGCUGGUUCUCUCCGAAAUAGCUUUAGGGCUAGCCUCAAGUGAUGAUUAUUGGAGGUAGAGCACUGUUUGGACGAGGGGCCCCUCUCGGGUUACCGAAUUCAGACAAACUCCGAAUGCCAAUUAAUUUAACUUGGGAGUCAGAACAUGGGUGAUAAGGUCCGUGUUCGAAAGGGAAACAGCCCAGACCACCAGCUAAGGUCCCAAAAUAUAUGUUAAGUGGAAAAGGAUGUGGCGUUGCCCAGACAACUAGGAUGUUGGCUUAGAAGCAGCCAUCAUUUAAAGAGUGCGUAAUAGCUCACUAGUCGAGUGACACUGCGCCGAAAAUGUACCGGGGCUAAACAUAUUACCGAAGCUGUGGAUUGUCCUUUGGACAAUGGUAGGAGAGCGUUCUAAGGGCGUUGAAGCAUGAUCGUAAGGACAUGUGGAGCGCUUAGAAGUGAGAAUGCCGGUGUGAGUAGCGAA